rnacentral:misc_RNA from 1 species
AAGAAAGUGAAGACACCCAUGGUGCUGCUAUUUCCUUCACUUCUAAGAGAAAAGGAAGUGCAAAUAAGAGAAUGAGAGCCUCUGAGUCGCCCAAUACUAAGCCUUGGGAGCAUGUUGAUCAUGUGAUAAUGAACCUUCCUGCAUCUGCUUUACAAUUUUUAGAUGCGUUUCGGAGUGUUAUCCAGAGGAAAGAUUGGAAGGGGCUUCUUCCUUGGAUUCACUGCUAUUGCUUCAUGAGGGCAAACGAAACCAAAGAAUCUAUAAUCUUGGAGGCAGAAACUGCUGUAACUGCUCAUAUACAAGACCCGGUAUUUCACAGGGUUAGGGACGUUGCUCCAAAUAAGGCAAUGUUUUGCUUAAGCUUUAGGCUACCAGAAGCAUGCUUUAAAGAUAAUGGUGCUAACCUUCAUUCUGCAAAUGGAAAUACAUGAUCAUUCUUUGCUUCGAAAGAUGAUGCUGCCAACUUUUACAACUCAAUAUUUAGGAUUGUGAUGGACUUCGUCCCUUGUACUCUAAUACAUUAACAGAAACAUAAAGGAAAAUUUUAACAGCAG